AGUCUCUCUAGAGAAAUGGCAUUUUUCUUGCGAUUCGCCUAGGACAUCUUUAGCAACCUUCUUAAUACAAGUAGUCAUCUCAUUCCAUAUCGUAUUAGUGUCUCGUUCAAAGUCCCACUUUCCUUGUUUCACCACUUUAUCAAUAAAUGAUUUCAAAGUAUCUCCUUUUAAACUCCACUAUCUUAUCUUAGGGCAAAUAAGCUCACCUUUGUUACGAUUCUGUGUAGUGAGGCACAUAUCCAUGACCACUAAUCUAUGUUGUUUGGUUAGGCUCUCCCUUGGUAUAACUUUGCAAUCCUUACAUAACAAUCAAUCAUGCCUUUUAAUU